CCUACGGGAGGCAGCAGUGGGGAAUAUUGGACAAUGGGCGCAAGCCUGAUCCAGCAAUGCCGCGUGAGUGAUGAAGGCCUUAGGGUCGUAAAGCUCUUUUACCAGGGAUGAUAAUGACAGUACCUGGAGAAUAAGCUCCGGCUAACUCCGUGCCAGCAGCCGCGGUAAUACGGAGGGAGCUAGCGUUGUUCGGAAUUACUGGGCGUAAAGCGUACGUAGGCGGUUAUUCAAGUCAGAGGUGAAAGCCCGGGGCUCAACCCCGGAACGGCCGUUUGAAACUAGGUAGCUAGAAUCUUGGAGAGGUCAGUGGAAUUCCGAGUGUAGAGGUGAAAUUCGUAGAUAUUCGGAAGAACACCAGUGGCGAAGGCGACUGACUGGACAAGUAUUGACGCUGAGGUACGAAAGCGUGGGGAGCAAACAGGAUUAGAUACCCUGGUAGUCCACGCCGUAAACGAUGAUAACUAGCUGUCCGGGCACUUGGUGCCUGGGUGGCGCAGCGUACGACAUUAAGUUAUUCCGUCCGUCGGGUAGGUACGGUCGCGAAGAAUUAAACUAACAAAGGAAGUUAGACGGCGUGAGACGUGCCGAACGGACGACGACGAGGGAGUAGG
rnacentral:rRNA from 1 species